rfam:Medicago truncatula strain A17 chromosome 3, whole genome shotgun sequence.
AUAUAAGCAAAAUUGACUUUUUAGAUUCAUUCAAUUAAUGAUGUAUGUGGUCCAUGAUAUAAAUCACAUAUAUCAUUAAUUGAAUGAACCUAAAAGAUCAAUUUUACUUAUAU